rnacentral:rRNA from 1 species
GAUGAACGCUGGCGGCGUGCCUAAUACAUGCAAGUCGAGCGAACAGACGAGGAGCUUGCUCCUCUGACGUUAGCGGCGGACGGGUGAGUAACACGUGGAUAACCUACCUAUAAGACUGGGAUAACUUCGGGAAACCGGAGCUAAUACCGGAUAACAUGUUGAACCGCAUGGUUCAACAGUGAAAGACGGUCUUGCUGUCACUUAUAGAUGGAUCCGCGCCGCAUUAGCUAGUUGGUAAGGUAACGGCUUACCAAGGCAACGAUGCGUAGCCGACCUGAGAGGGUGAUCGGCCACACUGGAACUGAGACACGGUCCAGACUCCUACGGGAGGCAGCAGUAGGGAAUCUUCCGCAAAGGGCGAAAGUCUGACGGAGCAACGCCGCGUGAGUGAAGAAGGUCUUCGGAUCGUAAAACUCUGUUAUUAGGGAAGAACAAAUGUGUAAGUAACUAUGCACGUCUUGACGGUACCUAAUCAGAAAGCCACGGCUAACUACGUG